UGAAGCCUGCGAGAGGGGGAAAGAACACGGCACGCUUACCCUCAGGCUCUGCAGGCUGGCCUCUCCAGCCCACACGCGUGCACCGCUCUCCCCCCACAGGACCACGGGGCUGGCGUGUCCCACUGGGUGGCUCCACGGCACGGGCCCGGACAGCCUGGAGUCCGAACCCCAGCUCCGCCCAAACCUGCACGAGGUCUCUAAGCCUCCUGUGCCUUUGUUUCCUCAUCUGCAAAAUGGGGAUAAUAUCACUUCUGCUCAGACUGCUGUGAAGACGGACUAAAUGGACCCAGGAAAAGCAUUUAGGAUGGUGCCCGGCACACAGUAAACACAAAAUAAAUGACGUCUGCUACUACUGUCAUCUGCUGAGAGUCUGAGAAGAGACAGAGAAGCUUCCCUGAAGGGACCGUUCUGCGUCUCAGAGAAGUACAACCACACAGAGGAAAUGCAAGGAGCUUCCAGGUCUGCUUGGUCUGGCCGAAUAGAAACUCCUAGAAUCCCAGCAUUGUCUGCCCUAAAGUCUGUCCAUGAGUCUGAGGCCUUCCUCCCCAACCAGUUACCAUUAUUUGGUGAUGAGAGGUGGGAUCCAGAGAAGACCUGCGGCAGCUCGGGAGCUGGUGAGCAACCAGGGCAGGUGCCCACGGAGUUCAGUGAGCUGCCUUCCUGUUGACCUCGGAGUUUUGAAGGUCACACAAAUGAUUUUAUCGACCUCCCUCUGUGUGUCUGUAGACCUUGCUCUGGUAGAACGCAGUAUGCUUGCACAUCACAAACAUGAACCGGAGCCCCGAGGGCUGAGAUAACGUUUGUAGCUGGCAUCAUCCAGUCUGCACACGAUGAGGGAAUGUUGCAGGCCACUGCACUCCCUUUGCUGAUUACCCUAAACCCUCUACAAACCCCCCCUGGGCCAGGUAGAAACUUCGGAGUUGGCUUUUGGGCAAGAGCCUGCCUUCUCCCCAGGUGGCCAGCCUUUUGAAUAAAGCUUAUAUUCCUUUUCAAUCAAAAGCUCAUCUCUUUGAGUACUGGCAUCUUCAGGGACAGGAAGCCCCACUUGGGUUUGGUAGCACUUUAACCCACCAUUGAUAAAAGGCAUGCUUCAACACUGGAGAGGCCUAAUUGCUUCCUUAAAAACAGCCAUGCUUCAGUCUUCUCACCGUGUAUUACCGGAAGACAAAGACCUUGAGCAUCACACGUUGCAACCUGGACUUUUUUUCUGGAGGUGUCUUUUCCAAUAGACAAGAUUCUGUUCAACCUUGCCAGCAAGGCACUGUUGACCAAUCCUGUGCUAACAAACACCAGAGAACAGACUCCUGGAUCCACGAGACCCCUCUAAAGAGAGCACCACAGCCUGACUGGACCUGCACGCCAUCCGAUGACCUGAAAAUCCGGAUUUCCCGGCCCCGGAGCAGACGACAUCUGAUGAGAUCUCUGGAUCAGGCCUGUUAGAAGGUUCGGGGUUCACAGGAGUUUCUUUCAUUUGGACAUUAAUGGACUCCUCUGGAGUCUUACCCGAAAUUCAUGGUUUCUGAAUUUUCGACUUUACUGUAUUAUUAGUAAUACGCCUAAGUUCCAGCAGUUCUGAGAUAACAAUGCCGCUUUUCAACAUCUUUGAAGUUUUGCUAUUUUGCAAAACUUCGUGUUUAUACCUGCACUGUAUCUUCCCAAAUGCACCCGGUUAAUUCUCCCAGGAGGUUCCUGCAGUAUCCCCUAUUCUGUUCCCAUGAGUGCUUUCAGUGGGGACUCCCAGGAGGUACACGUGACUCUGGGGUUUGUCCCCAUACGAGGGACUUUCCUUCCCUACGUGGGAGUAAGUGCCCACAAAUAUUUCUCAUUGGCUACUUUCAGAUCUAGGAUCUUGUUUUAAAACCAUCACAUAAUUUGGAACGGUCAUGUUACUUUUGAUUCUGUACUCGGUGCCUGUCAAACCUUUGUAAAAAUGCCGUGACCAAUAAGGACAUGCUCUCUAGCACCUACAGUCUUGAUAAGUAUGGACUACAGAUGGAAGUGGUCCUUGCGACUCGAACGGAUCCCAGUAGUUUUCCAUCUAUACAAUUUUCCACGGACGAGUGCUGUGACACCCAGGAAAGAUCCUUCCUGGCGCUGAGGGACCAAAAAUGGCCACUGAAUUGUGAAAACCAGACUCUUGCUCUGUGAUGCAUUUGGAGAAGGAUCUUGAUCAAAAGGGGGAAAUGUGAAAAUUAAUAAAGGGACACCUCACUGAAAUGGAGUGGGAAUAAAAUGAGGAACCAUCCUACUCAAUGUCAAUUACAGGAAGAGCUGUUCAUUAUAGACCCCAACAGAAGAAUCCUCAAUUACAGGUCCCAGGAGGGAAUGAAGUGCAUUGCAUCUCCUACAAGAAACUGACUAUCUCAGCCACUGAGGAAGCAUCACCUCCCAACUUCCUCCUCUUUAUAAAAUAACAUUCCUCUCCUUUGUUUACAACGGGUCCUGCCUGUGGUGCUGCAGUGACUUGCACGUCCCAAAUUUCAAUUCUUUGUUAUUCCUGAAUAAACCCAUUUUUGCUGAUUACCUGCCAAGACUUGAAGUCACCGUGCAAUCCCUCUUCAGCCUGAUUAGAAUUACUGUCCUGACCAGCACAAGCCGCUGAGGGGGUGGGUGAAAAAUAGAUUCUCUCUGCUUCAGCAAUGCCAAGAAAGAGACUGGACUUUUGGCACUGGCCAGCAUUUUGCCCGUGGGCACUUGACAUUCACUUUUCUUGAAUCGGAGAGGUUGGGUGAUGCUGCUCUGCUCUCAUUUUAUCCCUGGGCUCCAUGUUCAAGUCACUAAGGCUCAAAGAGCCUCCCCACACCCAUCCGGCCAGUAGUGGCAGGGCCGGACUCAAAUCCUGCUGUGCCUGACUGCAGAGCGGUCCACGGUGAAUAUGUGAUGACACCUGAGUGAAGGUAGGGAAGCAGAUCCUGGGUGAUGGCGGCACUUGAGGAUGUCAGACCCAUCGUUGCUUAAUGUUUGAUGAACAACCAAAUAGACACACAGACGAGUGGGAGGGGUGUUCCAUGCAUUCCACCCAUUGUACCCCAUCCCGAUCCUCCCACGGCUGGGCGCAUGGCUUCUCAUGUGGGACUUCUGGCACAUUGCGCUUACUUCUUGCAAAGCGCUCAUUUAAUGGGUUCAUGUCUCCCACUUGCCUGUAGAACUUCUCUAUAUUCACGACUUCAUGGUAGGAGCUCGGCAAAUGUUUGACGCACCGUAUCAGGAGCUUCCCAGAUGUGCUGUUCCUGUAGUACCUUCAUGAAUCGCCCAAGAUCUGGGGACAGUCUGCUUGGGAAUGACACCUGGGUCCAGGCGGGCACCUUGAGAUUCUCAAUGCUUUCUGCUUAGCAGGUGCUCUGAAAACUAAGAGCAGGCGUUCGUGGGAGGAGAGUCUGUGGCGGCCAGCCCAGCCCCAACAAUACCUUUGAGACACCUGUCAGACUGCAUCUCCUGCCCUAUGAAAGGCUUCUCCAUAUGCCGCGUCACUGAGGCUGAAAUUCUCUGCUGCACCUUGUGCUUCUGUUGGUUCUCUUUUACUUUCAUAUAGUUAGAUGCGGGGUGAGGGGGUCUCAGUAGAUGUUACCUCCACUGUAGGCCUCCAUUUGUCCUUGCCUCUUAAGCCCACUGCCCUGCUGUGGUUAGCCGCUUCUCCCUUCGAUGCGUUGAUUAGUUGUGCCACACCUCACAGAACCUCCGUGCACCUUGCUGCCAGGCUGAUCUCCCUAAAUCAGAACUCUCAAUGUAUAUCCAGUCUUCUCUAAAUCUGUCAUUCACUCCACACUGGCAACUACUUAGCCAAGUAAAAUCUCUUUUUCCCUUGAGAUUCAAGGUCCGGACCCUUUUAGCCCUAUAUAUUCCUCAUACCUGCUUCAUUCUCCCACUGGAGCCCCUGAGGGCAGGAUGCUGGCUCCUGAGUAUUUUUACAUUCUUUGCAGCAUCUUGAACAGUGUCUUGGGUGUAGCAGGAUCUCAGCGACUAUUUGUUUCCAUUAAUGUAACUUAGCCUAACAUCCAAGGCACGCAGUGGACCCCAGGGGCAAGAUUCUGGAUCAGGUCUUCAAGCAGAUGGCUUGCCAACACCCAGAGAGAAAAGCAGCGAGCAGGCACUUGCAAAAGGAUGAAGAGGGACGGAUCUGACUGCAUCAGGAAUUCUGCUCGGAGGAGACCAUUCACUUUACUCUGAAUUUACUGACGUAGCUCAGUGCCCUUCUCCCCCACUCGAUUUCUACCAGAAGCCUUGGGCUUCUCCACAGACACCAAUGCGGUUGUACACCCUGGGCUUUGUCAUGUUUCCCUUAUCCAGCUGAGGUACCAUAGUCCAUUUAACCCCACUUUGGUCUUCCUUAAUUUCUUGGCCCCACACUCCUUCAACCACACCUGCCAUUGAAACAACCAACCGGGUGUUCCCACUUCUACUCCAAAGCUGCUGGGGAAGCUCACGGAGCCACACUGACCCCUGACACUACAGCCCCUGCUCUAUCAACUCCUUUCCACUGGCAUUUAAAGCAACAGGAAAAAAAUAAUCUCCCCUUCACUUCUGGGUCCUACCCUCUCUCCUUAUACUCUUCAUAGCUAAUGACAGUAAAACCUUGGAUUGGGAGUAAUUUCUUCUGCACAAGACGUCAAAACAUUUUUAAUCUUUAACUUGAUAAAUGAGCAAUGUCCUCCAAUAGGAGUAGUACGUGAUGCUGCACAUCACAUGAUCACAACUGAGCCAAUGGUUCUCUCUCUCUCCUACC